AUGUGUUGUGGCCAACAUCCUUUGUUUCCGAGAGACGCCGUCAACGAUCACUCGCCGUCGGCGCUCGAAAACCUCCGCGUUCGCCUCGCCGACACGGAGGCUCGCCUCGCUCGCGCCAGAGCGCGUGAAGCGCAGCUCACGCGCCGUCUUCAUGAGAUGAAGCGCUUCUUGUCUGUUAUGGAAAUUCUUGAAGGUUAUCUCAAACGCCGGUUGAAGGCCGAAGUGAAUUCAUGUUGA